AUACGGAGGAUCCGAGCGUUAUCCGGAUUUAUUGGGUUUAAAGGGAGCGUAGGUGGACAGUUAAGUCAGUUGUGAAAGUUUGCGGCUCAACCGUAAAAUUGCAGUUGAUACUGGCUGUCUUGAGUACAGUAGAGGUGGGCGGAAUUCGUGGUGUAGCGGUGAAAUGCUUAGAUAUCACGAAGAACUCCGAUUGCGAAGGCAGCUCACUGGACUGCAACUGACACUGAUGCUCGAAAGUGUGGGUAUCAAACAGGAUUAGAUACCCUGGUAGUCCACACAGUAAACGAUGAAUACUCGCUGUUUGCGAUAUACAGUAAGCGGCCAAGCGAAAGCAUUAAGUAUUCCACCUGGGGAGUACGCCGGCAACGGUGAAACUCAAAGGAAUUGGCGGG
rnacentral:rRNA from 1 species